AGAGGGUGCGAGCGUUGUCCGGAAUCACUGGGCGUAAAGGGCGCGUAGGCGGCCUGAUAAGUAGGGGGUGAAAUCCUGUGGCUUAACUGCAGGGCUGCCUCCUAGACUGUUAGGCUCGAGCACGGUAGAGGCAGAUGGAAUUCCCGGUGUAGCGGUGGAAUGCGUAGAGAUCGGGAAGAACAUCGGUGGCGAAGGCGGUCUGCUGGGCCGUUGCUGACGCUGAGGCGCGACAGCGUGGGGAGCAAACAGGAUUAGAUACCCUGGUAGUCCACGCCGUAAACGAUGGACACUAGGUGUCGGGGGUAUCGACCCCCUCGGCGCCGCAGCUAACGCAUUAAGUCGACCGCCUGGGGACUACGGCCGCAAGGCUA
rnacentral:rRNA from 1 species